GCCGAUGUACAAAAUGUGAAGGACGCUAUUUGCUCAGCAGUUGAUGUGAUGCAAGCCAUGGCAUCCUCAAUAUGCUUAUUAACCUCAAAGGAUGGCGAAGUGAAUUCCUUGGUGGGCGAAGUUUCAACAGUAACAGCAAAGGAGCGUGCUCUGCUUGGUCAUUGCAAAGAUUUAUUAUCAACAGUUGCAGCUUUGUAGAUUAUUGCAGAUGGUAUAUUUGGAAGAGUGGUCGGUUCUAGAUUGGGACUAUACUUGUUCAUUGUCUAGGUCCUUUGAAGCUUUGAAGGCUAGCACUCUCCGUCUUCUAGUUGUUGCAGGGGCAAGGGUAUAUGUGACAGACUUUUUCUUGAAUUGUUUCUCAUUGUCACCCUGCUACACCCCGUUUUUAUCAUCAGUUCAUUUGCCCAGAAGUUUGACAUAGUUAAAGCUUUCAUUAUCGCUUGCUGCAAGCCGAUGUACAAAAUGUGAAGGACGCUAUUUGCUCAGCAGUUGAUGUGAUGCAAGCCAUGGCAUCCUCAAUAUGCUUAUUAACCUCAAAGGAUGGCGAAGUGAAUUCCUUGGUGGGCGAAGUUUCAACAGUAACAGCAAAGGAGCGUGCUCUGCUUGGUCAUUGCAAAGAUUUAUUAUCAACUGUUAGGUUUUAUGCCCUAAAUAAAACUCUUUACAAUCUGAUUAGUUAUCAAUAUAAGAAAUUUGAAGUGAUUGAUGUUUGCAUGAAUUUUACAUGCUAAUGGUUUAAUAUGUUUAAUAUGUUUAUUACAUUCAUACACACAAGAUCAGUUAAAUCCAGAUCAUAUGUUUAUUCACAAUUACAGUAUCGUCAACACAGUGGAAUGUGUUUGUGAUCAUAUGAAUCAAAAGUUUUGGUCCCUGUUUCAUCAGUGUUAUUGGAUUUACACUAAUGUGAUAAUCAGCGAUGAUGUGUACUUACACUUGGAGUAAGUGUUAUGUUCUUUCCAGGA